ACAAUGCAGCCACAAGCAUCAACACAACUUUGUAGGAAGCCAUAGUAAAAAUUUGAAGAAUGAAAAUGAAAAAUUAGGGUUUAUGAAAAAAAAAAGCAGUAAAAAGAUGAGGAAUUAGGCGAGUUGUUGUUUGUAACUGUUGUGAAGAAAGAGAUAGGGUUGGGAGGGUACUUAUAGAAUUGUUACCGCGUGAUGACGCGUUUCUAGACUGAGUCCUUCUGUGCCGUUGAUCUUUUUCAAUCAAUAUCUUUUUCUCAAAUAAGGUGUAUUUAGGAAAAUCAUAAUCAUCGACCUAUUUUGUAAAGAGAAAAAAAUAUUCACAAGAAAAAAUAUUGGUUGGUCUAUUAAAGUUUUUCUUUUAGGGAAAUAAAUUAUAAGUAAAUGGUCUCUAUUUUGUAUUAUAUUUCUAAGUGUGUGAGGGAUAUUCGAGUUUUUCUAUUUACACCCCAUGUUUUUCUGGUUACACCUAAAUUUUCUUAAAAUUUUUUUAUAAUACCAAAAUUGUCCUUUUAUAUAAAUUUUCUUAAAACCCUAAUUUUAUUCAUUGUCAGUGAGUUUUACCCUCUUUCACCCCCACAAAGCGAUCGAUCAAACAAUUUGAUGUUCAAUAUCAAUCUCUAUGAAAAUUAAAGAGUGAAUCAAAAUUUUUUUCAUCCAUACUCAAUUGGAUAUAAGUAAGUGAAUUUCUUCUUCUAUUUGCUAGUUUCAAUUUUUUUUCCUUCAACUGCACUGAUGCACUGUACGAUUACGGUUUUAAUUUACAUUGACAAGGUUAACUUAAAUUCAGUUUAAGUAGGUUCAUGUAAACAUGAACCUACUUAAACUGAGUUUACAUGAACCUACUUAAAUUGAGUUAACAUGAACCUACUUAAACUGAGUUUACAUGAACAUACUUAAACUGAGUUUACAUGAACAUACUUAAACUGAGUUUACAUGAACCUACUUAAACUAAGUUUACAAAAUCGCAGAACUGUGAAUCGCAGAACAAGGAAAACACAAAAUCAGAACUGAGAACCCAUAACAAGAAAAACACAAUCGAUUGAAGAACAACACUUGCUAACCUGAUUUGCUUCGAAUUUUCUUUGAAAUCAUGAAUGGACGUGAGAAAGUAUGGUUUUGAAAAUCUUCGCAGAACACAAUCGAUCGAUUGGAGAAUUAUGGUUUUGGAAGAAGGGUUUUGGGGUGUAACCAAAAAAGAAGGAAUAGGCUUUUUGAAAAUCAAAUUUUAUGAAAGGAUAAUCUUGUCAUUUUGGGGUGCAACCAUAAUUAACUAAGGUGCAAGUAGAAAAACUCGUGAUAUUCCGAGAAUUCACUAGGGUCAUAAUAAUAGAUCUUAAUACUAGAUAAUAGGUUUGUUUCUCUUUUACUUUCGUUUGGGUACAUAUUAUUUAUUUCUAUUUAACUUUCAUUUUGAUACUUUAAGGGUGUAAUUUGUCAAUCUUUUAUAAUUACUCAUAUUUAAUCAUUUUCAAUAAAACUAAUUAAUAUUGUAUAUUUGGAAAAUUCAAAUUUUUUUAACCAAAGUUUAUUUUUUGUUAUGUAUAAAUUUAAACUUCCAUGAAAUAUAAUUUUGUCACCUAUAAUAAUGGUUUUAUGAAGAGUGACUAACAAUUAGAAAAAUAUAGCAUAAUCAAGUUUAUUGAAAUGAGAGUGUGCACAAAAAAAAAAAUGUAAUUUCUUUGGUGGGUUAAAAUGAGAUAUAAUAAGAAAAAUAAAAAAAACUAAAAGAAUCCACUAAUUUGAUUUGCAUGUAUUAUUUUGAAAUGACACUUUUUUUGAACAAGCAAGAAAUGGCACUUGAAAAAACGGAUAGAGUAAUAUUUUUUUUUAAGGAGGAUAGAGUAAUAUUUUUGUGUCAAUAUCACUAACUGAAUCAAAUUUUUGUUGACAUUUUUUUGGUUAACAUAUAAUUUUAAAUUGGCAUCAAAUCACAUUAAACUCUAAAAAAAAAAUUAAAUUAAAUAAAAUAGGAAAAAAUAAAAGAAGAAUAAAAGGAAAUUAAAAGUAGUAAGGUUGAGUUGGCGUGAAGAGGCAGCACGCUGGCCGCUGGGAGAGGGAAUGAAUGUGCAAACCCAACCUGGUAAAGUUGUCCUUGAAUAUUUCCCAAAAAAAUAACUUGUCUUUGAAUAAUAGAGGAGAGAUGGAUUUUAUUUUAUUUUUUUGACAAAGUGUUUUUAGAGGUUGUUGACGAAAUUAUGGAUAGUUGUGAUUCUGAUUGUGUUUUUUUAAACAUCAGCUAUUUGGUAUAAGAGAUGCUAAUUUAGGGAUCAUUUCAAACAACAACUAGUGAUGUUAAAUUGAAGUUCCUGUAAUUUUGUGGGGACUGAUCCAGGUGGACCACUAAUCCAACACAAGAAUUGUUAGCAACUAAAAAUUCGAACAUUAGACUUAAAUAAAAUUAUAAUUUAAGGUUUCAAGCCUUAACGAUUAUAAGAGGUGAAAAUAUAUACUAAAAUAAGUUAAGAAAAUGCUAACAAGUAUUCUACAGACAUUUGAUAAGAAAUCCAAAAAAAAUAUUAUCUUAGAAAUAGUGCAUUAAUACUUCUAAACUCUGGAAAUUUUUAUUUUUUAGUUGAAUUCUUAAAAUUUAAGUGUGACUUGUAAAAGAAGAAAAAGAGAUACAAAACUCUCAAGAAAAAGGUCCCCAAAUCAUCAACAUGAAGCAAGUCAACAAGUCCACACAGAAAAGCAAGGACAAAGAUGUUGAAUUGGUCAUAAGCACUAAGCUUAGGCAUUAAAUCAUCAUAAUGAUUGCCUUAUCGUAGCGUGUAGAAGACUCUGAAAAGCGAAUUUUGGUGAAGCAAAUUCUUAAUGUCUUGAAUAAGCACAACAUACUUAUGGAACUUGUUGCUGGGAGUUCCAAGUUGACAUAUUUGUCAACCGACGAACCAUCAAGUAAGGAAGGAUUAUAAAAGCAUAAUAUUUAUUGCACAUCCGUUGUAGUCUAGUUGGUCAGGAUACUCGGCUCUCACCCGAGAGACCCGGGUUCAAGUCCCGGCAACGGAAUGUUUUUUGUUUCAUUAAUUUUUUUCCUGUUCUCUUUCGUAUAUAUUUUUUUUUUUGAAGAGGUUCUCUUUCAUAUUUAUUUAUGACGCGUAGUGUAGCACAGUGGCGGAGCCAGAAAUUACAUAGAGCCUGGGCGAAAAAUUUAUCGCAAAUUCACAUGUGACAUAAUAUAUAUAUAUAUAAAUUCCUUCCUUAAAAAAAAAGGAUAAAUAGUCAUAUAUAAAAAUAAAAAAGGAUCGUCAUAUUAAGUUGUUUGAAGGAUUUAUCGGCACUGGCGGAUCUUGAGUUAUUUUCUCGGGGUACCAAAAUUCUAUGAAAUAUAUAUUAAGCUGUUUGAAAUAUUAAUCAAAAAUGUUAACUGCUGUAGUGGUUUAAUUUACAUGAGUAUGGCCCAAAGGUGUGUGUUCGAUUCUCUCCAUGGAACUUUUUUGACAAAAAAGUAAAUAUAUACAUAAAUAUAAAAAAGGGAGAAGAAGGAAGAAUCAAACCCGCAACAUCUAAGAGAAAUAGCAACUACUUUUCCACUGCGCUAGCUGGAAAAUAUGUAAAUAAAAUGUCUGAUAUAAUAUAUAUAGAAACAUUACGGUACCAUGGGUUCUAAGGAAGAUCCGCCAUUAAUUAUCGAUCGAGCCCGGGGUCGCCGGGCGGUGAAACCGCUCCUGGUGUAGCAUCAUUCUCGUCACUGUCUUGGUCUUUGGAUAGACAACAAUGUCAUCUGUGUCGAAAACUAUACCAACCUCUUCACCUUAUCACACUCAUAAAACCACUUCAAAUUACACAAAAAAAAAAUCUUAUAACCGCUUCAUCUUCUUCAAACAACCUCGUAGAACAUGUCUUCUACAUUCCACUGUCUGUGUCUCUCCAUCUUUCACCAACACCACUCACAGCGUAACCCAAAACCAAAAUGCAAAAAUUAACAAAUUCUGUGAAAUGGGUGAUCUUAGAAAUGCUAUUGAAUUACUCACAAAGUCAAAAGGCUAUGAACUUGGGUUGAAUAGUUACUGUUCCGUUUUGCAGCUUUGUGCUGAGAAGAAAUCUUUGGAAGAUGGAAAAAGGGUUCAUUCUGUUAUUAUUUGCUAAUGGAAUUUCAAUUGAUGAGGCUUUAGGAGCUAAACUAGUGUUUAUGUAUGUGAAUUGCGGUGAUUUGGUUCAAGGGAAAAAAAUAUUUGAUGAGAUUAUGAAUGAUAAGGUUUUUCUUUGGAAUCUUUUGAUGUCUGAAUAUGCAAAGAUUGGUAAUUUUAGAGAAAGUGUGAGUCUUUUUAAGAAAAUGCAGAAGUUGGGAAUUGUUGGGAAUUGUUAUACAUUUACUUGUGUUUAGAAGUGUUUUGCUGCAUUGGGAAAAGUAAAGGAGUGUAAAAGGGUUCAUGGGUAUGUUUUGAAAUUAGGAUUUGGGUCUAAUACUGCUGUUGUUAACUCUUUGAUUGCUGCUUAUUUCAAAUUUGGUGGAGUUGAGAGUGCACAUAGAAUAAUAAUUGAAUGAAUGAAUUGUCGUCACACGGACCGAAACAGAGCAACAACAAAAAUGAGGUAAAGAGUUAACGAUCCAUGUAAAUUCCUGAUUAAGAAAACAAAAAAAACUCUUCGUAAUUUCUCUACAUCAUCAAAGCUGCAGCAAAAACAACAGCAGCAGCAGAUACGGCAAAGGUGAAUCUGUUCAAUGCGGCGAUGGAGUUAUCAGAAGGUGAAGGUGCUUCAGAAGGAGGAGUAGAGAUGGAUGAUGGAGUAACAGCAGGAGCGAGAGAGUUAGAGGAAGCAGGUGGAGAGUUGACGGCGGAUGCUAAAGGAGAUGGAGACGUCUUCACAGGUACGGGAGGAGAUGCCACCGGUGAGUCAGCGGAGGGAGAGAUCGCAGGUGUGGCAACGGGUGAUAUGGUUGGAGAUGAUGAAGGAGAUUGAGCAAUGGUGGAACUAACAAAUAGUGUAGCCACAAGCAUCAACACAACUUUAUAGGAAGCCAUUGUUGAAAAUUGAAGAAGGAGAAUGAAAUUUUAGGAUUUAUAAGAAGUUUUGAAGUAGUGAGUAGAAGAAUUGAGAGAGUAGAUUGUUUGUGACUGUUCUGGAAAAGUGAUUAGGCAUGGAAGGGUAUUUAAAGAAGCUUAACCGCGUGAAUACGCGUUUCUACGCUAAGUCUUAUACGACGCGGUGAUUUUUUUUAUCCGUUACAAUUGUUUUUUCUAGGGGGAUGAAUUGCUGUAUCUUUUUUUUGUUUUUGAGAUUAUAUGAAAUUGUUGUAUGGAUGCAUAAAUAUGCAAGGUCCGGAGAUCAAACCUCGACCACCACCAAAAAAUGAAAUAAUUCUUAAUCAUCGUCGUAUGGAGCUGUAAUAUUGGUAUAUCAUUAUGUAUCAAAUCGGUAAUACAUAACAAUAUAAAGACAUGAGAGCUAACUCGAGACGUGGUUAUUUGAAGUAAAACAUGAGCGGCCUUAUUUGUCUGUCUUAAAUAAACUCGACACGAGAGCUUUUCAAAAAAAUAAAUUACAAUAGUGUAUACAAACCCGCAUAACAACCUCAAAUUCUAUGAUAUCUUUGUCGUCUCUCUCAAAGUAGUCAACAACUUUUUACAAAACAACCUUGAAGUCAACAUUCGCUCAACGUAGAUCAUUGAUCUACAUAAUAAUAACAUGAUACAGUCCUAGUGCCUCUUCUACUUCCACUCAACAUACAAGCACGAACAUCGUCACAAUACACAAACCAAUAUCUACUCUAUUACGGGAGACCGAGAAAGACGAGUCAACAUUGCAUUUAAACCUCCUAAAUGUCGGAUGUUUCCACCCUUACAACGAAGAUGAUACAAGGUGUUAUUGCAUCCCUUGCGCAUGAAUGGUUGAGGUGAACAUAACAUACAACAUUAUUCCCUUGCUUCUAAUUUGCCAACCUCCAGUGGUCGAGCAUAUGUACUGCUCGCUCUAAAAUUUGGUUGCUCGACUCCACCACAUGUUGCCAAAGCCUCAUGGUUCGGUUUUUCUAAAUGCUCCAUAAUAUUAUAACAAGGAGCUCCACUUGAUUUUCACUUGGACGCAGCAAUAGAGUGAAUAAAAUUUCAUCUGUUAUUAAGCAAAAUGAUUAAAGCAAGGUGGCAACUAGGCUACCCAUGAAAGAAUGAUGGAUAAUUUACCCCAACCAAUACACAUUAGCCACAUAAGCACAUAUUCAUGAACUAUCUUGACCCCACAAAUAAAUUGCUCAUUUUCAUUGGUUGGUGGAUAAAUUACCCACCAUUCUUCAAAGGUAAUUUAGAAAAAACCUUAAAGCAAUGAUAAGAAGGGCCUCAUGAGUUCGUACAAUAGUACCCAGCAGGUGAUAUUGUAUGCUAUAUCUUGUAUCUUCAGCGAUGCAUAUCUUCAAUUUCAUGAUGUAGCUUCUUAGAUCUCCAUUACAAUUCCUCACAUUGUUCCAUCAAACAUCUAAAACUAACAUUACUAGUUCAAAAUGAUUAAAUAACAUUAAAAAUUAGUUAAAACCAUAAAUUUUAAAUAGUCCGAUUGAAUGCUUUAGACCAUAGAUUCACUCAAUUCCCCAUUCAUUAUGUUCAUUAUGGGGACAAAGGCAACAUGAUAACCUACAAAAUUGCCGGUUAUCAGUGUUAUUAUUUGUUUGAAUUCACAACGAUUUUCAUACUAAACAUUCAUAGUUUCUUUAUAGGCCACCUUCCUUACUAGUAAGCCGAGCUUGAUCACAUCAUUUAAAACGGGAAAAGAAAUUUGAGUGUUAAAGUAAUACUAGUAGGCAUGGAAGAGAAUAUACAUCACUAAAGAAAUCUAUAACAUGACUUUGCAGAUGAAUCUCAUCAUAGAUUUACUUCUUGUUAUGAUUAUUGAAUUCGUAUCGCCAAGAUCAAUCGAUAUGCUACGAGCUUGUAAACCUCCUCAUAACGAGUAAUAUUGUUAUACUUUUUUCAAAGAUGGUCUCUAAGUAGGUAGAGUCUCUCAUUUGAAGAAGAAAGAAACGUAAUAUCAUAUACACAUGGAAUAUUUAAAAAGUAGCUAUUUUCUUAAUUUUUCCAUAAUGAAAUUUACUUUAUUUGAUAACUUGGAUUAAAAUGUUCAUUCAGGAGAGGCAGAGAUUGUGAUUGCAAGCAGCAUUGGUGAAAGUGCAUCAAAACAUGUUGUUCAUGGUGCAUAACUAACAGUAGAAUUCACACACAAGGGGUACUGCAAUUUUAUCAUUACCAUUAACAUUUGCCACUAAUUUUGGUUCUUUGACACUUCACCAAUUCUUCAAGUGAUAUGUUAUUAGUUUUUGACAUUGUUGUUAAAAUCCCUACUUAAAUCCUAAAAUUUAGUUACGACUUUUUUCACCUUCAACGACUCAAAUCCAUAGUAGAACCCAAAAUAGGCAUAAUUCAUCGAUUUUGAUUGCGAUUUUACGAUUUCUUAUAAAUUAAGUCAUUUAUGACUCUAUACCAUUUAUAUCAUAUAUUUAGUAUUAUUAUAUUUUGAUUGUGAUUUUACGAUUUCUUUAUAUCGAUUCUACAAAAGUAGUUGAGUAAAAUCCUUCGAUUUUGAUUGCGAUUUUACGAUUGUCGAUUUAGCUCUUCUCUUUCGUCCUGAAGCAAAACUCUAAUUUUGACAACCUUAAUUUUUGGUUUCUUCUGGUCAUUGAAACACACACAAGUUGAAAAAGUCACUAACAACACUCAGUAUUUAGAAUCAUUCGAACUUUAACCAGUAAUUGACAAGAUUGUGAAUAAAGAAAUAUCAAAUAACUGAUUCCAAAAUAAAAUUACCUUUGUUGUGUGUCAUCGUUUGUUUGUAUUACUAUUGAAAUAUGAUGCACAUUUCUAGAUAUUUGUAGAAUACAUUAGCAAUUUAUAUAAUGAUGAUCAUGUCUAGAUUUUUUUAUAGCUUAGUAGUUCGUAGAAAAAACCUAUUCUACAUUUUUCAAAAUAGUUUUGUAGAAGUUCACGAAAGUUCUAGAAUGUAGUAUCUAGAAUAUGCCUACUAUAAAUAGACAAACUAAUGUACAAUGGUAUUCAAGGCGGAGAUGCAAUAACAAUAAUUUUGAGGGCCACCACCAGACUAAAUAUCCCAUCAUAUAAUAAGUUGAUUGCUAGUGUGUUGCCUUUUAUCUUAUGUUACUAACCCACUACUAAAUAUCCCUAACAAUUUAUAAAUAGACAAACUUAUGUACAUUUGUAUUUUGAGCUGCAAUAACGAUAAUAUUGAGGCUUCACCACACCGUAUACCUCCUCAUACAUUAAGCUAAUCACUAGUAUCUUGCCUCUUAAGUCUUGACCCAUAUUAAUUGCUAAACUUAUGUACAUUUCGUAUACUAUAUUUUUCUAACAAUUAAGCAUUAGUGUUUUCUAACAAUUAUGGUGCUUGUGCUGUUUUUUUUUUUAAAUCAGGUAUCCUCCGCGCGCAACUGCGGAGACUAAGCUAGUAGAGACCUGUUCCAUCUUAUCUAAGCGCUCUUGGGUAUGCGUGUGCUAUUAUGUACGAAAGAAAUUAACAAAAAAACAAAAAACAAAAAAUUAUGUUCCUUGCUUAGUUUUCAAUUCUGGUUCCCUUCAAAUACAUACACUAAUUUAAAUAUUUUUUUGCACAAGUACACUAAUUCAAAUAUUAAUUUAUCCCUAAUAAAAGAAAACCGAGGCAGAUUUUUUUACGGCCACCGUGUGAGAAAGGGAAUCAAACAAUAGUAUAACCAAGAUAAGACCAGAAAAUAAUUGCAAGCAAAUAAAAAGAGUUGAAAAGCUUAAAAAGAGUUGACUAUCCAUGUAAAUACAUGAUUAAAAAAGAACAAAAUACAUAAAAUAAAAUAAAAACUCAAUGUAACUCUCUACAUCAAUAUCAAAGCCGCAAUAAAAACGACAGCAGCAGCAUAUCCGGCAACGUUGAAUCCAUUCAUAGUGGCACCGUUUGUGGGCGUUGAUGGUGCUUUAGUUGGAGGAGUAGAGAUCGACGAUGGUGCUUUAGUUGGAGGAGUAGAGAUUGACGAUGGAGUAAUAGCAGGAGCGGCAGCAGGGGAGGCGUGAGGAGGAGGAGAUGGUGGAGAGUUGAUGGCGGACGGUGAAGGAGAAGGACUGCUCGUUACAGGUACGGGAGAAGAUGCCACCGGUGAGUUAGCGCUGGUGGAGGGAGCAAUCGCAGGUGAUGGUGCUUGAGAUGGAGGAGUUGAGAUCGACAAUGGAGUAACUGCAGGAGCGGCAACAGGAGAAGCAGGAGAACCAAAGGAAGCAGGAGGAGGAGAUGUUGGAUAGUUAACUGCGAACGGUGAAGGAGAUGGAGCGUUCAUCAAAGGAACGGGAGAAGAUACCGCCGGUGAGAUAGCCAAGGGAGAUCCCGCAGGAGAUGGAGUGGCAACAGGAGAUGAUGAUAGAGAUCGUGCAAAGGUAGAACUAACCAAUAGUGAGGCCACAAGCAUCAACACAACCAUGUAGGAAGCCAUAGUAGAAAUUUGAUGAAGGACGAUGAAGUUUCUGAAGCAGCGUUGAGCGAGUAGGAUUAGGGUUUGGAACUGUGGUGAAAAAGGACAAGGGUUGAAGGAUAUAUUUAUAGAAGCCUAACCGCGUAAAUAUGCUUUUUCAUAGGGUAAGUUGUUUUUUGUGAGGGAUCAUAGGGUGAGUUGUUACUGACUGGUUGUUGAUCUUUUUUAUUAUUAUCUUUUUAUGUUUUUUGGUCAAGAUUAUUGAUUUAUUUUUUGUCGAAUAGUCUAGUUGUUGCAGCUCACAUAAUAUAAAUGUAGAGAAAUGGGGUGUCAGGGUUCGAACUUCUGCCCCUGCAUAAAUUAUUCUUAUUUUAAUAUAAUUUAAUUUAUUUUCAAUUGAUAAUUUAAAUAAUAUUAUAAAAAGGAUAAAUUAGUUUAAAGGGUAAAAAUAGAAGAAAAAAGUCUAGCUCAAAAUGGUGUAUGCCAAUUAUAUAGUGUUAUUUUUUGUUUGUAAGAGUCUUUUAUAUAGUGUUAUACAUAGAUGUUUGUGGCUUACCAAUUGUAACAAACUACGUUAUUUUUAACCAACAAUAUAACAAAUAUAAUAUUAUAAUUUGAUAAAAAAAUAUUAUAUAAAUUCUUCACUUUUUCAGUAACACCAACAAUAUAAAAUAUUUAUAAACAAAUUCAUUUAAGAGUAUAAUUCUAAUUAUAACAAACUCUAUAUGUUUACUUGUCAAAAAAAGAAACUCUAUAUGUUUAUACUUUACCAACAAUAUAAUAAAUAUAUCCAAUCUUAUUAAUCUCCAAUUUACGAGCCCAUUUGUUACAAUUUUAAAAAAAUCAUUUUUUAUAAAAAAUAAUAAUAAUCACUAAUAUCCUUCCAAAAUAAUAGAAUUUAGAAAAAAAACAACUUCAAAGUUUUUUUUUUUAGGGAAAAAUUCAAAGUUGUUAUGUAGCUUAUGAGAAAAUAUAUUUUUUCCUUGAAAGAAAAGAUUUUUUUAUUUUUUUUUUUACCAAGCAAAAAUGUAAUAUAUUAACAUUGACAAAGUAGUCUCCUUAGCACAAGGCGUACCAAAAAAAUCACUAGAUAGAACUAAUUUUACAUCAAAAAAUAUUUUUUAUAUAGUUGUAUUCAAACAUACUGAAUUUUUUUCUUCUUAAGUGAUUUUUAUUUUGGUAAAUAAACGCAAAAUAGAUUCUGAUUUUUUAUAAAAUCUCUAAAAAUAAUCUCUAAAACUCAAAAUAAUUGUAAUUUUAAUUUGUAACAUACAUACCUUAUACCAAUUAAUCAACAUUGUGGUCUAUUUGGUUGGUUGCAACUAGGGAUGAAAAUAGGUCAGGUCGGUCUACGGCCUAACCUACGACAAGUCAAACCAUACUUUUUUCUUAAAUAGAGAUUGCAUAGACUUUUUUAGAAGCCUGAUUAAAUUAAAAGGUCAGACCACAUGUCAUUCAAAAAGCCCUUAAGCUUGUUAGACCGAUCUAUUUAAGUAAACAUGAAUAGUAUUAUUUAUUAUUAUAUUAUAUUUUUCACUUUGAAUUAAAAUAUAAAUUUGUUAUCUUUUUUCAAUAAUUUAAGCUUAUUAUAUACAUUAGUCUUUUGCAUAUAUAUAAAGGUAUUAUUAUAAACUAGAAUUGAAGUAAGAUACAAUUUAUUGUGAAAUGCCUUAAAACCUCAUGUUGAUUAUCAAAGAAGAGUUUAACCUAAUUGAUCUAUUUGUUCACUAGUUUAUUUAAACUUGCAUCACAUUGCUUAUUUAAAAAUGUUCAUAAGAUAUAGGCUUUUAAACAGGUUAUCAGGUCGUAUCAGGUUUUCAUAAGGUCAGGCUCAGGCCUAAAAUGUAAGCCUUUUACUAGCCGCAAGCCAAGCUUAUAGGCUUUAAAAAAAAUUGGUAGGUUAGACCUAGGCCUUGCAAAGUCUAGCUCGGUCUAGCCUUUCUAGGUACAACAUAUGGAAAUAGGAAAAUAAGCCAUGCUCAAUCAAUUACAAUAAUUAAUUUUCAUAAAAAUAAAAAUAAAAUAAAAUAAAAAAAAGACUAAGGAUCUUUGAGGGAGAGUGUACUAGCUCUAAUGAAAGAAAUGACCAAACAAAACUAAAAUUAAUUUUCCUUUUGUUUGUUCGAUUUUCAAUUCUGGUUUCCUUCAAUUGAUCUGAUUUGUCCAUCAUAAUCAGAAAAACAUUGACAGAGUAUGAACGAAGGUGAUGAUGGCAAUAAUAAUCGAAUAUAAAAAUAAUUGCAAGCAAAUAGCAUAAAUAGAUUUUUUUUUUUUUUUUUUGAAACAAGCAUAAAUAGAUUCAUGUAAAUUCAUAAAAAAUAACUGCAAGCAAAUAGCAUAAAUAGAUUCAUGUAAAUUCAUAAAAUAAAAAUAAAAAAUAAAAUAAAAUAAAAAACACAACAAUAAGAGUCAGGAAUAUGUAAAUUUGUGAUUACAAAAAAGUCAAAAAAAGAAACAUCUCAGCGUCUACCCUAACAAAAAAAACUCAGCCAAGUCUAUAUCAUCAAAACAGCAGCGAAAACCACAACAGCAGCAGAUCCGGCAACAGUGAAUCUGUUGAAAGCGGCGCCGUUUGUGGAUGUUGAUGGUGAUUUAGAUGGAGGGGUAGAGAUAGACGUUGGAGUAAUAGCAGGAGGAGGAGAUGGUGGAGAGUUGUUGGUGGACGGUGAUGGAGAAGGAAUGCUCUUCGCAGGCACGGGAGCAGAUGCCGCCGUUGAGUUAGCGGAGGGAGAAAUCGCUGGUGAUGGUGCUUGAGAUGGAGGAGUAGAGAUCGACGAUGGAGUCACAGCAGGAGCGGCAACGGGAGAAGCAGCGGCAGCUGGAGAACCAGGAGCGGCAGCGGGAGGAGCAGAUGCUGGUGAGUUGAUGGCGAACGGUGAAGGAGAUGAAGCACCAGGAAGAGGAGCAGAUGCCACUGGUGAGUUAGCGGAGGGAGAAAUUAUUGGUGAUGGAAACGGAGAAAACAUGGGCGAUGAUGAUGGUGGUGAUCGAGCAACUGUGGAAUCCAGCAGCAGUGCAACCAAAAGCAUCAGCACAACGGUGUAGGAAGCCAUAGUAGAAAGAUGAAGAAGGAGAAUGGGAAUAUUAGGGUUUGAAGCAGUGAUAUUGUGUUGUGAAGAAAAUAUUAGGGCUGCAAAGGUUAUUUAUAUAAGCUUAAACGCUUCUUCCCGUUUCUAGGUUAAGUCGUUAUGACUUAUGAGUCGGUGAUUUUUUUUUUUGUUUUUUUGAAUAAUACAAUUUUUUUUUACAAUUUUUUUUAAAUUACUGUUGUAUUUAUCUUUUUCUUUUUGAUCAAAAUAAAGUUAACUAUCAUUAAUCAACUAAUGUGCAAUACAAGAAGGAUAAGAGUUAAAAAUGCGGUGACUAGCCCAAGAACAGACCGCCCUAGCUAAAGUAUGAGCAACCAUGUUCGAUUGUCUCCUAACAAACUUCACCUCGAAGUUGGAAUGUAAAGAUAACUGAUAAAUAAUACUAGAAACAAUAGCAUAGAAUUCUGAAUCACCAUGGCCCAGAGACGAAAGAGCUUGCACUAAAGUAGCAGAGUCAGACUCGAAGACAACCCGGUCCCAUCUGUUCACAUAAGCAAAGUGAAUAGCAUCGAGUAAGGCUACUGCCUCCCCCUCCAAAACUGUCAUAUUUGCCCGUUUCCAUUUCGUUUGUGCCCGAAUAAAUUUCCCUCGGGAGUCUCUAACACAACAUGCAGAGGAUGUAAGACGAUUACGGUCAUGGAACGCGGCAUCCACAUUGCACUUCAACCAUGUCUCGCUCGGUUUCUCCCAAACUAAGUUGUUACGUACCUUGCACCCUAUUCCGGUCAUGUUGCACAACCGGUAGUGAGGGAUGUUUAUGAACCUCAUGCCAUUGCUGCCAUGCAUCCAGAGCUGUCCUUCCAAUGCUUGUUGAAGGUAUAAUGAGCGUCCUUCCAAAUGACAUCAUUACAUGCAGCCCAAAUUUUCCAAAGAAGUAAAGCCACACGACCAGCAAUGUCUCGGCUUUCUGAACAACAUAUGUCAAAAACAAAAUUUGUCAAACUACUCUCAGUUCCAACUCGCGUUUGCAACACAGUCGAAAGUCCUGUCCAAUACCAACUUUCACUCGCCACCGUACAGCCCACAAAAGCAUGCCAAUCAUCCUCAACAUCCGUAUCACACCAGGGGCAGUUCAAUGUGUAACAACUCCAUCAUAGCUAGUUUGUCCCGACGACUCCCAUAUCUAACGACGAUGAGAAAUUGAAUCUCAUCACCGUCUUCAACGGGUUUGGGUAUCCAUACAGUGAAUCAUUUUUUUGAAUAAAAAAUUCAAGUUUUUUCCAGUCCCGGGAAUAAUGUUAUAAUGUAUUAUGCAGUAAUAUGCUCACUUUAACAUUUUUUUAUCGAAUAAUUUGGUUGCUCUUAUAAAUAUCAAUGGCAGGUUUUAUAACAUGACAAAUAUCAAUGAGUAAUAAAGUAAUUUCUACAUUCAUGAUAGGUUUGUGUAUGAGUUCGAGAUGAGUACAUAUAUCUUUGUUAUUAGUCUCGUACCCGUGUUUUAAAAUCGAGGAAAAUCCAAACACAUACCCAAACUAGUCAAAACGGAGAAACACAUCAAAUCGAGGUGGGUUCAGCCAAAUAACCGUGAAUACCGGUUUUACUAUCAUGCCUAAAUAAAAUGGAUAUAUAUUCUAACAAAUUAUACUGUCAAAACAUAAAAUAGAAACAGAAAGUGUACUAAAAAAGAAUUAAAAAGGAGCAUAUAGUGUAAUAGUUAGAGCAUCCACAAAGGAGAUCCUCAACUCCGAGCUCUUAAAUAGGUCCCACGGACGCAUCACUUUUUAAUAAUUUUUUAAUAAUAGCAUUUAAUAGGUACUCAACCACUCCAAUGGAGAUCCUUUAACAAAAGGUCUAAUANGGUCCCACAAAUAUUAUUUAAUUGCCAUGAAAAUUAUUAUUUUAAUAAAAAAUGAUGUGGAUCCAUUUAAGAAUGGGGCUUAAUAGUUAGACCUUGAAUCUUUUAAGACCCCCAAGUUUUUUUUCCCACAAUAAGGGUACCUAUUAGGUACCAGAUCUUAAAUGGUGAAGACCUCACCAUUGUGGAUGCUCUUAGUAAUCCUCAGUAAAAAAUAAAAUAAAAAGUAAAUCCUUCCCUCAAAUAAAAUAUCAAUUAAUUAGCAAUCCUGGUUGUAUCCGGAGUAAAUAAAAUAUUCAAUCAGAAAACGCAUAUGACCAUUACAAAAAAAAAAAAAGGAAAAGAAAUUUGAACUAGAAAGAUGAAAUUAAAUAUAUUAAUAUAAAACGCAUAUGACUGUUACAAAAAAUAAAAGGAAAAAAAUUUGAACUAGAAAAAGGAAAUACAAUAUACUAUUCGGGUAAUAUUUUAUUAUUUAUUUAUAAAAUUGUGACAACGUCUUCGUGAGCUUAACUCAAUUGACAUGAAUAAUGCAAAAAAAAAAACAAAACUAUCGUAACAUUUUCAGAACAUUCUUUGACCUCACAAAUACGAGACAGUUGAAUGUCAACCCAAUACAACCAUUAAAGUGAUCUUGGUACAAGAAUAUGGUAUUAAAAGAAAUCACUAAGUCACAAGGAUGAAUUCCUUAAAAAAAAAAAAAGUCACAAGGAUGAAUGAAGAUUAAAUGAAAACUUUAAAUAUGUUCAUAAAAUGAAUUCUAUAAAAAGAGAGUUAAGAUCUUAUCCAUUUGUCAUUUCCAUCUCUAUCAUUUGGAGAGAUAAUCUUUAUCAUUUGAAGAGAUAAAGAUACAAAAAUAGAUGAAUUCAUCAAAAUAUACAAAAGGAACGGUUUCUUUUUUUGAAAUAUACAAAAGGAACCUAUUGAAUGACAUAUAACAUAUAAAAAGAAUAUAUUUAAUGGUUGACUUAAAUAUGUAUUUGAACCUUGCAAUUAGGGGUCGUUUAAAAAUUGGUCCCUGUAAUCGCUAAUCCUGGCAAUUUACCCUUGCAUUGUUUAAUCAUUUAAAAUUUCGUCGCUCUCCCCACUUAAUCACUGCCGAGCCACAUGAAAUUCUAAUUUUACCCCUGGGUUUCCAAUUCUUUCUUCAUUAUUUUGUCCUCUUCUUAAGGGCAAAAUUGGAAUUUCAUGUGUGGCAGUGAUUGCCACGUCAUCAAAUUAGUGACGUGGCAAUGAUUAAAUUGGUCAAAGGACGAAAUUUAAAAUGAUUAAUGAUUGCAAGACUAGUUUGCAAGGAUUAGCGAUUACAGGGACCAAUUUUUAAACGACCCCUAAUUGCAAGGAUCAAAUACAUAUUUAAUAUUGGCUCCACCAAAAUGUGAGUAACACUAACAAGCUUGGACAUAUGAGAAGAUGACAACACAUGUGUGAGAGAGAGAGAGAGUUUGAGGUACCACAAGUAUUAAAAAGCUAAUGACAAAAGUGUUCCUAUUACAUGAUACUAAAAGACAAAGUGUGUCUUUAAUACAACUCAACUUGAUUUGUUUUCUGCCAAAUCUCCACAAAAAUAUGCAUGGUACUGUUCAUAAAAUAUAUGAGAUGACAUCACAAAAACGCAUAUGUUUAUUAGUUGUCCUUACCUUAAAAAAGAAAAAUGAUAUCGGUAGAACUACUUUGUGACAACUUUCUCUCACAUACUCAGAUUAUAUUCUUAUUCUCUCUUUUCUUUUUUUUCUCUCCAUUAUUUUUGAGCAAUAAAAAUAGAGAAAAAAGAGGUUAUCUCAAAAGUUGUUUCAAAUAGAUGUUCAAAUAUCAUUACUCCUAAAAAAAAAUGUUUAUUAGGUCCUAUAUACAUCAGCUGAGAACGUUAUCAACACUGCAAGAACAUUUUGACAAAAGGCUUCAACAAGAGUGAAGUACUCUAAUGUGUUGGUAACUUUUCCUUCCCACCUUUGCCUCUAGAAACUCCUGUUAUUUACCACAUCAAGGAUGGUCCUCAUCUAUAAAUGUUCAACAAGGACAAAGAGCAUAAGUCUUGAGCAUAAUCAUACUCUCUUGAUAUUUGUCAAUCAUCAAGAAACAUCAAAGACUCCUUUGUUUUUAUCAUCUACAUCAUUCAAGCUCAUGCAUAGAAAUCAAACAUCUUUAAAGGCAGCAACUUAUUUUACACUAGUUUUUUAAGUGAGUAAGAAACAUGUCAAAACAUUCAUCAAUUUUAAAAUUGCUCUAGUUACUCAUUGAAAGCGUAAUUAAGAAGUGUAAAGGCAAGGUUGCCAAAUCAAGGUUGUAAAGUCGAAGUGGUUAAAAGGAAAUUGAGUGUAAAGAUCCUAGGGUGAUCUAAGAAAAUGCAUAGAGAUAGUAUUAAAUCUUAAGUGCAUGGUGGAAAAUAUCACAAUAUUGUGUGGACUAAAGUAGCCUACAUUGGAUAAACCAAUAUAACUUUAUGUGUGUGAUUCUCUAAUUAACUCGCCUCAUUUAAAUUUCCAAUUUACACUUGCUAUAGUUAUUAAAUGUUGUUUCUUACUAAGUAAGUAAUCAAAUAAAAGUUAUCAGUUUAGAAGUUUUAUUGCAAAUUUUUUGAAUGGAUCACAAUCCAAAAUCCCAUUUUACUUCAGAAAGAAUCACGUUCACAACUUAUGUAAUGAAGGAUAUGAGAUCUUAGUGCUCUUUAAAAUGGUACACAUUGGAUAGGAGGAUCAAAUUAUACAUAUCAUCGAAUUCAAAUACACAAAAGUAAAAGAAGCAUUGAAAAGGAUGAGUAAUGAUUAGGAAGUUGGACCAAAUAACAUAUCUAUUGAACUAUGAAAAAGUCUUGACGAUAAAAGCAAGGGGUGGCUCACCAAAUAUUUUAACAAAAUUAUGAGGUUAAAGAAAAUGUUAGACGAGUAGAGUAUAACAACUUAAUUUAAUUCCAAUCUAUAAGAGCAAUGGAGGAUAUAUAAAAUUGUACAACUUAUAGAGAGGCCAAACUUAUGAGUCACACCAUGAAGUUAUGGAAAAGAAUGAUUGAGAGAAGAAAGAAACUCAAUUUAGUAAUAACUAAUUUGUAUUUACGUCUGGAAGCUUAAGGUCCACCAUAUAUGGAACCAAUCUACUUAAUUACUAUGAUGAGUGAUGGAGCAAUAUAUGAUCAAUUAAAAAGACUUGCGCUUAAUUUUCACUAAUUUAGAGAAGAAUGAUGGUACAACGCCUAGAGAUAUUUUAAGGAAAGCCCUAAAGACGAAAGGGGGUUAGGUUGCUUAAUCUAAGAAGUCAAAUAUAUGUACAAGGGGUUCUUGACCAGCGAGAGAACGUAUAUAAGUUGGGGCCACUAACAAUUUUCCUAAAAGAAUAGCAUUUCACUAAGGAUGAAAUCAAAGUCAUUAUAUUUUUACUUAAGUUUUUUAUGUACUUAUGAUACACAUCCAAGAGUUAGCGCCGAGAUGUAUACUUUUUAUUGAUGAUAUAAUCUUACUUCGAGAGUUGGUGGAGAAAGUAAAUGAGAUUGGAGACAAGCCUUAGAAGUGUAUGACUUUCCCCUCAGUAGAAGUAAGACAAAAUAUAUAUGCAAUGUAGAUUUAGCAAAAGGCCAAUCAUUCCUAGCAUAGAGAUGAAAGAAGAACAUAUGAUACCAUAAGUUACAUGAUUUAGAUAUCUUGGAUCCACCAUAUAAAACAAAGGAUAAUUAUAAGUAGAUGUAAACCAUCGAAUUCAAGGUGGAUGGUUAAUUUAUCGAUUAACUAUAUCAUAGUCAAUGGUGUAUUGAACAGGGUGUUGGGAUGAAAAGAACCAAAAUUAAAUAAAUUAAGUGCAGUAGAUGUGAAGAUGUCGACUUUCACUAUUAGAAAAAUCAGAAAUGGUUCCCCGUGAGCUUAACUCAGUUGGUAGGGAUAUUGCAUAUUUUAUGCAGGAGCCGGGGUUCGAACAUCGGACACUCCACUUCUCCACAAUUAAAUUGUGUGAACUCUAGCCACUAGACUACUUGACAAAAAAAAAUUGGAAAUGGAGAGGGACCAAUUUCAUCGUUAUAUUGCGAAAUUUCCAUCUCUACAUACUUUAGAAACAAAUUUGGGGACGAAACUGAAUAUGUCUUAGAGACGUAUUGUCUUACCACACAUACUUUACAGACAUAUUGCCUUACCAAAGGAACACUUAAAUUUUGUAAACAUCUAGGGUUGAAAAUAUGCAAACCAGUCGGCAAUUCUUUAACAAUGCAAAAAGGUAGCUACAUUCAAGGCCUCAACCUUAAAAAGGUAACUUGAUGCUAAUUUUUUUUUCAACUUGUACUUCAUUGAAUUAAAGGAUGAUGAGGUUCAACAACAGGAAGCUCCAACUUCUACAAUUUUCACGUUUUCUUCUUGGUUUGAACUAACAUCCCUCAUUAUUGCCAUGAUGAGAGGUUGCACCUACUAAUUUAAAUUAACCAAGAAAACAAUUUGACCAUUCCUUGACAAGUGAUAUUUUGCAGUGGCUUACCCCCUUCAACAUUGGAAGUUUCCAAUGCUUCUUAAGGAAGUGACAUACUUCCACUAAGGCUUGAAAUUGUUGACAUGAUUUCAUGAUUUCACGACAUAACCGAAACCACUGGAGGUUGACAUUGCAACGGUGCUCACAACUUUGGACACGCCAAAAGUAAGUUACUUGUCGUGUUAGAAGUACAUGAAUUGCUAAAUUUUUCACAACAGCAUGCACGCGUAUGAAAAUAAUCAUCACCACAAGAAAAAGGUUACACACGUAAGUUACAAUAGCUCGUUCGACCGGGCCUUCCAAAUUGUCUACUGUGAUCUUUUUUGUUACAAUAUAAGCAAAUUAACUUUUUAUAUUCAUAUAUUUAACGAUAUAUGUUGUUCAUAUACCACAUACAUCAUUAAAUGAAUGAACUUAAAAAGUCAAUUUUAUUUAUAUUUAGAAAUGGAGGAAGUAAUUAUGAACUGCGUCAAACCGACCAUAAAUAAAUGUUUAAUCAAUGUGAUCAUGGGUGUGUUUUAUAAAGUGUUUUGAAAAAAAGAAGGUGUAUUUUGUUGAGUUGACUUUUAAACAUACGUAUGUGACCUUAUUGACAAAAAAAUGUAUGUUGUCAUUAGUUUGCAAAACAACUCCCGCACUACUUAAAAUUUAUGGGUAUGUGUUUGAUUGAUUUUCCCAAGUCAAUUACAUGGUAUUGGUACCAUGAAAUGCUCAAUCAAUUAAAAUAAUUAAUUUUCAUAAAAAUAAAGUUAACAUCUUGUUGAGGGAGAGUGUAUUGCUCUGUUUCAUGAAAGAAAUCACCAAACAACUAAAAUUUCUCCUUGUUCGGCUUUCAAUUUCUGAUUCCCAUUAAAUACAUAAUUUGUCCAUAAUAUCCCGAAGAAAAUUGAUGGAAUUUAUUUAUUUUUCCUUUCCUACUACUAAUUUUUGUUGUUGUUGUUGAAAGAUACACAAUUCAUUCAAAUGAAAACGAUGAUCGACAAUAAGAUAAAUAAUAAUUGCAAGGAAGUAGUAACGUUGAAAAGAAGAAGAAGAAAAAAUGUGUCACUGAUUAAUUAAAGUAAUAAAUAGAUUACAGAAAAUAAUCGAAUGAAUAAAUCGUCGUCGCACAGAUCGAAACAGAGAAACAACAAAAAGGUACAUAGUAGUUCUCACGAUCCAUGUAAAUUCGUGAUGUAAAAAAAACAAAAUAAAAUAAAAUAAAAUAAAACUCGAGUAACUCUCUAUAGUAUCAAAGCGGCGGCGAAAACCACUACAGCAGCAGAUCCGGCAACGGUAAAUCUGUUCAAAGCGGCACCGUUUUCGGAAGGUCCUUCGGAAGGAGGAGUGGAAAUGGAUGAUGGAGUAAGAGCAGGAGAGACAGCGGGAGAGUCGGAUGAAGCAGGAGGAGGAGAUGGUGGAGAGUUGAUGGCUGAAGGUGAAGGAGAUGGAGCGUUCUUCACAGGUAUGGGAGCAGAUGCCGCCGGUGAGUCAGCGGAGGGAGAGAUCGCAGGUGUGGCAACAGGGGAUAUGGUGGGAGAUGAAGAUGGAGAUUGAGCGAAGGUAGAACUAACCAAUAGUGUAGCCACAAGCAUCAAAACAACUGUGUAUGAAGCCAUUGUAAAAAUUUGAUGAAGGAGAAUAAAAAAUUAGGGUUUAUAAGAAGUUUUGAAGCAGUGUGUAGAAGAAUUGAGAGAGUCUAUUGUUGUGGAAGAAGAGAACAGAAUUGGAACAGUAUUUAUAGAAGUGUAUACGCGUUUCUAGGCUGAGUCGUUAUGAGCCGUUGAUCUUUUCCAAUCAUUGUUAUCUUUUUAUUUUAGAUUAAUAUCAGGUGUAUUUAGAAAAAGAAUCAUUCCUCUUUCUUUCAAAAAUAAAAAUAAAAUAAAAAGAAUUAUUCCUAAUCCUUGUUGGUACAGAAAAAUAUUCUGUCAAUUAAAAAGAAAGUAAAAUUGAACUUAAAAACAAAAAUAAAAUAUAUCUGUCUAUUGUUUUCAUAUCUACUUUAAUAUUUUUACAUAAAUUCGGGGUAGCUAAUUUUGACAAAAAAAAGAGAGUAAUAUUUUUGUUUUUGAGGUAUAAUAUAUAUUUUUUAACAUGUUUAAGAAAAUAUUGUAUUUCUUUUAACAAAAUUUAAGGUGUCCUCGUUUGAUUAGCUCAGUUGGUUGGACAAUGCAUCAAAUAUGUAAAAAAUAUUAAGGUGAGUUUUUUUUCGAGAUACAUCCAAAUAUGAUUUUCAAGGUUCAAAAAAUGUCCAUAGACAUACUUAUAGAUUGUUUAUUAAUUACAUAUUUAUAUAAAUUAGUCCUUCAAAAUUGUCAUAGCAGAAAAUUAAAUGUGAAACGUUGAGAGGAAUACACUCCAAUAUCACAAAAUCAACACCAUCAAUCUAGAAAAAAAUUGUAUUAAUCAACUAAAAUUUAAUCUUAAGAAGUUUAAAAAAUAAAAUGUAAACUCUAAAAAAUCAAUUGAAAAAAAAUAGGAAAAUCAAAUGAAAUAAAAAAAAAAAUAGGAAAAUUUUCUCAAAAACGGAAAGAAAAUAAAAUGUGAGAAUAAAAGGAAACUAAAACUCAAACUUAAAAGGAAAAACAGAAUACCGUUGAGUUGGCGUGAAGAGGCAACAAGCUGGUAGGGAAUGAAUGAGCAAGUCCAAGCUGGUAACUUUCUUAGAAUAAUAAGAACCGUUGGACAGAUGGUUGCUAUUAUUUGAAGAAAAGUCCUAACAGACUACAAAUCUAGGAUUAAAUAUGUCUUAAUUUUCUAUUAAUAUAUUAACGUUUUAUUUUAGUUCAAUAAAAUUUUCAAUCAACAUUUUUUUGUCAUUAUUUCUAAGUUAAUUUAUAUGUAGUAUUUGUAUUUUUUAACAAAAUAGUGCAGAAUAUUGAAAACUCUCUCAAUUUUUUUUUUAAAAAAACAUAAAUUAAAUAUAAAUUUUUAACCGUUGAAAAUAUAAAAUUCAUAUUUGAUUCAUAUUUUGUUAAAAUAUUCUAAUUAGUUUUAGGCGCGAUUUUUACCAUAAUAAGUUUUUAUUUGUAAAAUUUUGUUUAAAAAUAUGAAUUUCACAUAAGGGUGAGAAAAAACCAAAAACCGAACUGAACUGUUGAAUUGAACCGAACAAAACAAAAAAUUAUUGACAAUUCUGAAACUGAACUGAAACAAUUCGGUUCGAUUUGAAACAGUUCGGUUCAAAUCUAUAACAAUUCAAUAACUAAAAUUCGAUUUCGUUUGAUUUUUUAUAAAGGUACCAAUCAUAAUUGUUCAAUUCAGUUCGAAACAGGGACAAUGCAUAAUAUAUGUAAGGUCCGGGGUUCGAACCCUAACCUCCACACAAAAAGUUCAAUUCGAAACAGUUCGGUUCAGUUUGAAACAUUUUGAUUCAGUUCGAAAUGCAAACAAUUCGGUUCAGUUCAGUUAUUUUAAAUUAGGUUAAAUAUGUUUUUGGUCCCUAUAAAUAUAUCAACUUUUCGUUUUAGUCCCUCUAAAAUUUUCCUUCAACUUUUAGUCCCUAUGAAAUUUUGAAUCACUACUUUUGAUCCCUAUUUUAAAGUAAAUUUUAGUAUUUUUUUAAUGAAAUUGUACAUAAAUGUGUAGAAUAUUGUAAAAAAAUUAGAAUUUUUUAAGUAAACAUAAAUUAAAUAUGAAUUUUUAACCAUAAAAAAUAUAUAAAUUCAUAUUAAAUUCAUCUUUUGUAAAAAAAAUCUAUUUUUUUUUUGUAAGAGAUUCUUAUAAUAUUAUGAAUUUUUCUGGAAAAUUUGAUUCAAAAAUUCUACAUAUGAGUUUACUUUAAAAGAGGGACCAAAAGUGAAAAUGGAAAAUUUUUAGGGACUAAAAGUUGAAGGAAAAUUUUAGAGGGACUAAAAUAAAAAGUUAGUAUAUUUAUAGGGACCAAAAACAUAUUUAACCCUUUUAAAUUUAGUAAACAAAUCAGUUCGGUUCCGUUCAAUUUUCAUCCUGAACCAAACUAUGUCCACCCCUAAUUUUACAUACUCCCUUCUGUCACUAUUAUAAGCAAAAGUUGGUUUUUUAGAUUCAUUCAAUAAAUGAUGUAUGUGGUCUAUAUAUAAACUACAUACAUAAUUUAUUGAAUGAAUUUAAAAAGUGAACUUUUGCUUAUAAUAGUGACCAGAAGGAGUAUGAGUUUAGUUAAAAAUAGAAAGCAAAAGUGAUGAUGAAAAACUUUUGAGGAACUAAAAAUAGAAGAAAAUUUUAGAGGGACUAAAAAUAAAUUGGUAUAUUUAUAGGAAAAAAAUUACACAUUUAACCAUUAAACAUAAUAUUAUGGAUUUUUCAGACAAAAUAUAUAUAUAUAUAACAAGAUAAAGAGAUACAAAGAUCGGAUGACAUUCGACUUAACCUAAGUACAAUUCAAACGGAAAUACAUCGUGAUAAAUCAAAUCAACAAGUUUAAACUAGCGAAUGGAUCGGCCACCAACAUAGAAACCAAAUUCACGUAUCAACGACUCCUGAAUAAAUCAUCAAACAUAAAAGCUCUUUCGAAAAAUGGUGCCGCAAAUCUGACACAGAACUGCAGAUCUCGGCAAAUUUAGAGUAAAAGAUAAUCAAAGAGAUCAUAACCAAACACAAGCAGUUGCACAUGAAAUCAGGGGUAUGAACCCAGAUCGCGGCUAUUUGGAGAGUGAUGAAAAGACAUAAAUGAGUCACAUUGCUAGUUGCUACAAGAAAACAUCUCACUCGAAGUUGGAGAAAUGUUUGGGUUUCAAUUUGAAAACUGAUUCAAUUGAUGAAAACCAAUAUGCCUGAAACAACAUUUUCUAGCUUCUACAAGUGAAAAAAGCCAAGUUUGACAACCAUUGAAAGUUUGAAACAGUUCAAAAACGCUUCCCAUAAAGUUGAGACACUAAAACACCUACUCUGAAGGGCCAAGGAAAGAGACACUAAAACUAGGAAGAAUCAAAGAAGGACCCGUUAACUUCAGACGAGUCUCCCUUGACUUCAUUUUACUUUACUUUAGGCUGGGGUCAUACUCACGCCUGUGGUGUUUUGUAUCAAAGAAAUUAUCAAACAAAACCAAAAUUCACUUGUUUCUCUUUAAAUACUAAUUUUACUUUACCAUAGCAGUCGGAAGGAAAUUGCUGCAUUUUUUUUUUCUGCCAUUAAUUGUGAAUAUUAACUUGUGUUUGGCUGUUGAAGAGACAUCAAUCGAGUAAUAAAUUGCAAGGAAAUAACAGAAAUUGAAAAGAAUAAAAAGUAUCACUCUCAUUAAAAUAAUAAUCAAUAGAUUACAGAAAAUAAUAAAAUGAAUGAAUGGUAGUCACACAGAUCGAAACAGAGCAACAAAAGAGUUCACGAUCCAUGUGAAUUCGUGAUUAAUAACAAAAUAAAUCAAAGAAAAAAAAACUCAGAUGAACUCUCUACAUCAUCAAAGCAGCGGCGAAAACCAUAACAGCAGCAGAUCCAGCAACGGUGAAUCUGUUAAAAGCGGCGGCGGAGUUGUCUGAAGGUGAAGGUGCUUCAGAAGGAGUAGUAGAGAUGGAUGAUGGAGUAACAGCAGGAGAAACAGCGGGAGAGUCAGAGGAAGCAGGAGGGGAAGGAGAAGGAGCGUUCUUCACAGGUACGGGAGGAGAUGCCACCGGUGAGACAGCGGAAGGAGAUGGUGCCUGAGAGGAUUUGGGUGGAGUGGCAACGGGUGAUAUGGUUGGAGAUGAUGAAGGAGAUUGAGCAAUAGUGGAACUAACCAACAGUGUAGCCACAAGCAUCAAUACAACUGU
rnacentral:lncRNA from 1 species